UAGGGAAUUUUGCGCAAUGGGCGAAAGCCUGACGCAGCAACGCCGCGUGCGGGAAGAAGGCCCUCGGGUUGUAAACCGCUUUCAGCAGGAACGAAAAUGACGGUACCUGCAGAAGAAGCCCCGGCCGACUACGUGCCAGCAGCCGCGGUGAUACGUAGGGGGCGAGCGUUGUCCGGAUUCAUUGGGCGUAAAGAGCUCGUAGGCGGUUCGGUAAGUCAGGUGUAAAAACUCCAGGCUCAACUUAGAGAGGCCACCUGAUACUGCCGUGACUAGAGUCCGGUAGAGGAGCAUGGAAUUCCUGGUGUAGCGGUGAAAUGCGCAGAUAUCAGGAGGAACACCAGCGACGAAGGCGGUGCUCUGGGCCGAACUGACGCUGAGGAGCGAAAGCGUGGGUAGCAAAACA
rnacentral:rRNA from 1 species